AAUUUAUUAAAUAUAUAAUGUUGACCACUAAUCAACAAUUAGUAAAAAUAAAUUAAAAAAAACAAUUUAAAGAAAUUCAAAACAUUAAAAAGUAAUGCUGUAACAAGAUAGGUUGUAUUAAUCAUUUAAUGCAUCCUUCUUUUUUAUAAAAACAAUCUUCCAAAAAUAAGAAAAUGUUGAUAUAUACAGCUAUACAAUUCCUUUUAAAAGACUAUAUUUUCAACAAGGCUGCUUCCGACGGCGAGAAAGCAAGCAACAAUAGCGCCGCCAUUAACCCAACAGGAAAUAGAAGGAAUACCAACGGCGGCGGUGGCAAUGGUGGCAAUAUAAGCGGCAGAACAACUAUUGACGCUGCCAGCGCCACCAGAAUCAGAAUGGACCCUGCACUGAAGAACAGCACCAUGCCACUGCCGGUGGUGAUUUUUUGCAUCAGAUUUCCGGCGACCGGAAGAAGAGUGAAACUAGAAAUAGUUAACAAUAGAAUGUGAAUAAGGAAUAUUUGGU
rnacentral:lncRNA from 1 species